CAAUGCGCCCCCAAUGUAAUAACGACAAAUUCAGAUUUACUAUGAUGUGAACACAAUUAGUCAGCUACCUACGCUAAGCAAAAUAGUUCCAAAACUUCGCAGUAACUCCAAAAUCAUAGUUCCCUAUCUAUUUUAAAAUUGACUGGCCAAUUUUGUACUAAAUUUAGCAAUCGUCUUUUAAAAUUGUAUGUAUAUUUUUGCUUUACGCGAUUUUAAUAUUACUACGCCAGCGGUCGAUCAUAGCCAAAGUACUUGCAUAAAUAUAGUACAAAUUACAUGUAGUCACAGGUUAAUUAAGUGUCAUAGAACUCAAAAAUUUAGCAAGUAAUGGAAUACGGAUUUCAGAUCAGCUAACUUUAAAGCUUAUAGGGCCUAAUGCUUCAUAAGUGUAAAUUUAAGAAAAACAAUGCAUGCGUAUGAAUACGAACUAUUUUCGCCCUUACGUCAUUUUACCGCAAUCGCCAUUGUUUACAAGUUCAUCCGUGAAAGAUUGAGAAGUUUAUAUAGAAGUUCCACGUGUUAAAACGAGUUGUUUGUGAAUAAAGGCUUGUUUGUUAGAUUUCAAUUGUGGCUCAGUUGGUUGUUUGCUGAGAAGCUGUGAAACAUAAUUAUACAGGCCAUUAAGGAGGUUUUUGUCAGAUUGAUGAAUGUGAAAUUAAGAGGACCCAUUUUGAGGAUGCUUUUUAUGAAUGGAAUCACGAGAGAUGAAGUCUAAAA